UGUUGAUAAUGUGGACAGUCCUAAAGAAGAUCUUUGAACAUCUCUCAUGCUUGAUAUAAAUUCUCAUCUAUCUUCUAUUUGAAUCACACAAUCUCACUGUACAGUCU